CCAUUUGCUUAACAAAUGGGCUGCCGAAAAUACUACAUAGCUAAGGAGUGGGAGAGGUAGACGGUAUUCGGUAGGAAGGGGUAAAAUCCUUUGAUCUAUUGAGGACCACCUAUGGCGAAGGCAGUCUACCAGAACACGUUCGACGGUGAGGGAUGAAAGCUGGGGGAGCAAACCGGAUUAGAUACCCGGGUAGUCCCAGCUGUAAACGAUGCAGACUCGGUGAUGCGCUGGCUUGUGGCCAGUGCAGUGCCGCAGGGAAGCCGUUAAGUUUGCCGCCUGGGAAGUACGUACGCAAGUAUGAAACUUAAAGGAAUUGGCGGGGGAGCAC
rnacentral:rRNA from 2 species